rnacentral:tRNA from 1 species
GGCUCAAUGGUCUAGUAGCAUGAUACGUGCUUCGGGUGUUUCCCCGCCACAAAUGUGGUGAAGAUGUACGUGACCCGGGUUCAAUUCCCGGUUGAGCCC